CAUAUAUAAAGUCAUAUGCAAGUAGCGGGAAGAAGAUGGCGAGCCAGUAGUAGGAAAGCGGGAAAUCAGUAGAAGCAACAGGAUAGCUGCGACAGACAAGAAAACUGUGCAAGGAAGGAGUUGCCGGCCUGGUAAUCGCUUAAAGGUCGUUGAUGGUAAACGUGAAAGCGCAAGAAGAAUAGAAGGGUGAGGCCAGGGAAGCAUACGAUCGCGUUGGCGGAGACCCGAGGAAGAGAGAGAAUAGACAGUUCUCAGGGGCUGUUGGUUUCUACUAGUAGUGAUGAAACAAGGUUACAGAUUGCAUAAGAGGAUUCAGAAUCAAACAUUUCGAAAAUGAUUUUUUGGUAAAUGAUGUUUUGAAGGUUAUCUAUUGUAAGGCAGAAGGCAAACAUGACAUGCCAAAAGCUUCAAGAGAAAACCUGGAUACAAAAGAGGCAAUUGAAGUGCCUGCCAACGUGAAAACAGAUUAGUGGCAUUGGAUAUCCCACUUUUGUACCGUCUGGUUCAUGGAAUGCAGUUGCAGCAGUGUUGCUAAGGUAAAAAGUGAUGGAUAUGUCGUUGACUCAAUGGUUAAUUUUGUCAUGACAUUCUAGCGUGGAUUUAUGUAUUCUAAUACUAUUAUUUAAGUAAUUUACUAUUAAAUUUAUUUUUUAUUUUA